AUUGAACGCUGGCGGCAGGCCUAACACAUGCAAGUCGAGCGGAUGAAGGGAGCUUGCUCCUGGAUUCAGCGGCGGACGGGUGAGUAAUGCCUAGGAAUCUGCCUGGUAGUGGGGGAUAACGUCCGGAAACGGGCGCUAAUACCGCAUACGUCCUGAGGGAGAAAGUGGGGGAUCUUCGGACCUCGCGCUAUCAGAUGAGCCUAGGUCGGAUUAGCUAGUUGGUGGGGUAAAGGCCUACCAAGGCGACGAUCCGUAACUGGUCUGAGAGGAUGAUCAGUCACACUGGAACUGAGACACGGUCCAGACUCCUACGGGAGGCAGCAGUGGGGAAUAUUGGACAAUGGGCGAAAGCCUGAUCCAGCCAUGCCGCGUGUGUGAAGAAGGUCUUCGGAUUGUAAAGCACUUUAAGUUGGGAGGAAGGGCAGUAAGUUAAUACCUUGCUGUUUUGACGUUACCAACAGAAUAAGCACCGGCUAGCUUCGUG
rnacentral:rRNA from 1 species